AGCUCCAAUAGCGUAUAUUAAAGUUGUUGCAGUUAAAAAGCUCGUAGUUGGAUCUCAGGUCCAGGCUUGCGGUCCACUCCUUGGUGGCUACUGCUCGUCCUGACCUACCUCCCGGUUUUACCCUUGGUGCUCUUGAUUGAGUGUCUCGGGUGGCCGGAACAUUUACUUUGAAAAAAUUAGAGUGUUCAAAGCAGGCAAUUCGCCUGAAUAAUGGUGCAUGGAAUAAUGGAAUAGGACCUCGGUUCUAUUUUGUUGGUUUUCGGAACUUGAGGUAAUGAUUAAGAGGGACAGACGGGGGCAUUCGUAUUACGGUGUUAGAGGUGAAAUUCUUGGAUCGCCGUAAGACGAACUACUGCGAAAGCAUUUGCCAAGAAUGUUUUCA
rnacentral:rRNA from 1 species